UGGGGAAUAUUGGACAAUGGGCGAAAGCCUGAUCCAGCCAUGCCGCGUGUGUGAAGAAGGUCUUCGGAUUGUAAAGCACUUUAAGUUGGGAGGAAGGGCAUUAACCUAAUACGUUAGUGUUUUGACGUUACCGACAGAAUAAGCACCGGCUAACUCUGUGCCAGCAGCCGCGGUAAUACAGAGGGUGCAAGCGUUAAUCGGAAUUACUGGGCGUAAAGCGCGCGUAGGUGGUUUGUUAAGUUGGAUGUGAAAUCCCCGGGCUCAACCUGGGAACUGCAUUCAAAACUGAAUGACUAGAGUAUGGUAGAGGGUGGUGGAAUUUCCUGUGUAGCGGUGAAAUGCGUAGAUAUAGGAAGGAACACCAGUGGCGAAGGCGACCACCUGGACUAAUACUGACACUGAGGUGCGAAAGCGUGGGGAGCAAACA
rnacentral:rRNA from 1 species